UGUGUGUGUGUGUGUGUGUGGACAAAUAAAAUACAUCAAUAAAAAUAUUGACUUCAGAUCCUUUUUCUUAGAAUAGAAAGCCAUUUUUGAACAAUACAAACCUUCUAACCUACAAUGUAAAAUGCUUGUCUAGAAUGCCAUAACCAGGCUCUAAUCUGAAUGAUAUGCUAAGUAUAUUUAAUGACGUUUUAACUAACUAACUAACCAUGUAAAGAAUAAAAAAUACAUAAUAUAAUUAUAAACCAAGGAGUAAAAUAUAUAUAUUUUUUAGUUCUUCAUAAUAUGAUAACAUAAUAUAACGUAUACGAUCUAGAAUUUUAGGUAGUGUAGCCACUAUUCACUGUAAGUCCACUGUCAGCUUGGGGGAA
rnacentral:misc_RNA from 1 species